AUUGAACGCUGGCGGCAGGCCUAACACAUGCAAGUCGAACGAGUGGCGGACGGGUGAGUAAUGUCUGGGAAACUGCCCGAUGGAGGGGGAUAACUACUGGAAACGGUAGCUAAUACCGCAUACUAUCGGAUGAACCCAUAUGGGAUUAGCUUGUAGGUUGGGUAAAGGCUCACCUAGGCGACGAUCGCUCGCUGGUCUGAGAGGAUGAUCAGACACACUGGAACUGAGACACGGCCCAGACUCCUACGGGAGGCAGCAGUGGGGAAGAUUGCACAAUGGGCGCAAGCCUGAUGCAGCCAUGCCGCGUGUAUGAAGAAGGCCUUAGGGUUGUAAAGUACGUUCAGUCGGGAGGCGUUACCGACAGAAGAAGCACCGGCUAACUCCGUGCCAGCAGCCGCGGUAAUUC
rnacentral:rRNA from 1 species